rnacentral:rRNA from 1 species
UACGAAGGGGGCUAGCGUUGCUCGGAAUUACUGGGCGUAAAGCGCGCGUAGGCGGAUCGUUAAGUCGGGGGUGAAAUCCUGGAGCUCAACUCCAGAACUGCCUUUGAUACUGGCGAUCUUGAGUCCGGGAGAGGUGAGUGGAACUCCGAGUGUAGAGGUGAAAUUCGUAGAUAUUCGGAAGAACACCAGUGGCGAAGGCGGCUCACUGGACCGGCAUUGACGCUGAUGUGCGAAAGCGUGGGGAGCAAACAGG